UACGUAGGGUGCGAGCGUUAAUCGGAAUUACUGGGCGUAAAGCGUGCGCAGGCGGUUCGUUGUGUCUGAUGUGAAAGCCCCGGGCUUAACCUGGGAAUGGCAUUGGAAACUGGCGAGCUGGAGUGUGGCAGAGGGGGGUGGAAUUCCGCGUGUAGCAGUGAAAUGCGUAGAGAUGCGGAGGAACACCGAUGGCGAAGGCAGCCCCCUGGGCCAACACUGACGCUCAGGCACGAAAGCGUGGGGAGCGAACGGG
rnacentral:rRNA from 1 species